AGCUCCAAUAGCGUAUAUUAAAGUUGUUGCGGUUAAAAAGCUCGUAGUUGGAUCUCGGCAGGCAGGGGGCGGUUCGAUGUUCAUCGGUACUGCCCCAUUUGCCUGUGUGAUUGGCGGAGGUUUCGGGGUGCUCUUCGUUGAGUGUCCCGGGGCGCCGUCAGGUUUACUUUGAAAAAAUUAGAGUGCUCAAAGCAGGCUUCACACGCUUGAAUAUUCGUGCAUGGAAUAAUGGAAUAGGAACUCGUUUCUAUUUUGUUGGUUUUCGGAAAUCGAGUUAAUGAUUAAUAGGGACAAUUGGGGGCAUUAGUAUUCAGACGACAGAGGUGAAAUUCUUGGACCGUCUGAAGACUAACUACUGCGAAAGCAUUUGCCAAGAGUGUUUUCAUUAAUCAAGAACGAA
rnacentral:rRNA from 1 species